CAAUAGCGUAUAUUAACGUUGUUGCAGUUAAAAAGCUCGUAGUUGGAUUUCUGGAGGGAGCGUCGGCCCGUAUUUACGAGUGCGUGACGUCUCUGUCCAUCCUUGCGGGAAGGCACGGCAUUGAUUUGUUGUGUCGGAUCGCAUCAUUUACUGUGAAAAAAUUAGAGUGUUCAAAGCAGGCUUUCGCUUGAAUACAUUAGCAUGGAAUAAUAAGAUAGGACUUUGGUCUAUUUUGUUGGUUUGCAGACCGAAGUAAUGAUUAAUAGGGAUAGUUGGGGGUAUUUAUAUUCCGAUGUCAGGGGUGAAAUUCUUAGAUUUUCGGAAGAUAAACUUAUGCGAAAGCAUUUACCAAGGAUGUUUUCAUUAA
rnacentral:rRNA from 1 species